rnacentral:misc_RNA from 1 species
GAAGCUUAAUUAUGCUUCUCACAUUUAGUAGCAAGUUUAACGAAUCAUGAGGGUCGUACACAAAUAUUCGAUUUUCUUCUAAAUUUCCACCAAUUCACACACAUACAUAGGUAAUACAUGUAACAUGUGUGUCCUUAAUCACUGUCCAACUUGGAUUGGAAGUAUGAAGUUUAUUUGCUUUCAUCUUCCAAUCUCAUGUUCGCAAUGUGUUAUGCAUGAAUAGGCAAAAACCCUUUUCGUGGGUUGCUAUAGCAAAAUG